rnacentral:tRNA from 1 species
CUUUAAAUAGUAUAAAAUGUACAUUUAAUUUCCAAUUAAAAAGAUUUAAUAAACUAAAUUUAAAGA